CCCGCCCAUCCCUCCCAAGCACCGGAGGGCGGUUGGGGGAGGGGGAUGGCUAGCGCUGGAGCCGGGGGAGGGCGGGAGGCAGACACAAAGCCCUUCCCUCGCCUCCCUUCCUCCUCCUCCUGCUCCUCCCGGGAGGGGAAAGUCAGCCCCGCGCCAGUCCGCGGGGCCACCGGUCGCCCCCGCCUCCGAGACCUGCGGGGAGGGCCUGCGCGAGAUGGAGACGAGACAGCCAGACUUCUGAGCUUCCUCAGGGGAAGAUAACUGUGCAACCCUUCGGGAUGCUGCGAAAGUUGGAGCUGGACUGAGGGGGAGACAGAGAGAUGCUGGCGUGAAGGGAUGCCUCAGGAGCCCCAGAGCGUAAACCAUUACUGCACACAUUUAUGGACUAUGGUUCAGGCCUGGCACUUCGAUGGGUUAUGUCAUUUAAUUCUCAUCUUAGAGACGGGACGCCAGGGAGCCCUAAGAACCUGGCUGAUCACUGAGAGGAAGGUCAUAAUGCGUCCCAUCCCAACGUAAAAGCCUUUUCUCUCUUCUCCAACAUUCCCCGCUUGCCUUUCUUCUGUUCCCAACGUUCCAUCUAUUUUUUUCUUAAAAAAAAAAAAUUGUUUUGUUUGUUUUGCUUUUUAGGGCCACACCUGCAGCAUAUGGAGGUUCCCUGAGUCAUGGCCACAGCAAUGCCAGAUCCAAGCGACACCUGUGACCUACACCACAGCUCAUGGCAAUGCCGGAUCUUUAAACCACUGAGCGAGGCCAGGGAUCGAACCUGCAACCUCAUGGUUCCUAGUCAGAUUCGUUUCUGCUGAGCCGCAAUGGGAACUCCUCUUCUAAAAAUUUUUUAAAUUUGAUUUAUUAAUUUUUACAAUAUUUUUUUAUUAAGGAAUAGUUGGUGUAAAGUGUUGUGCCAAUUUCUGCUGUAUGGCAAAGUGACCCAGUCAUACAUAUAUAUGGUUUUUUUCUCAUACUAUCUUCCAAAAUGUUCUGGUUUUUUUCAUGGAAUCACAAGUCUCUGUGUGAAAGGGAAGGAGCACCAAGGGGAUGUCUGCAUAGGUCACUGUGGCGGAUCAUUGACCUAAAUGGCAUCACAGUGUCCUGGCUCUUCCAGAACCUUGCCCUGUCCUCUCAACCUGGGACGUCUGCUUUCCCUCCUCUUGCAUCGGGCGGGACUCAGGGAUGGGGACUGCCUUUGCAGAGAAGGUGGCAGAGGUGACACUGAGUGACCUCAAAGCAGAGAUCAGCGAAGCAGAUGAAGCUCCCUGCUGGCCCUCCUGCUCCGGGCCCUCCUGCCUGUGAGACCAGCUACCAUGUGGUAAGGCAGCCCAGGCCCCCAGGAAGCCCCCCUUACUCCUGCCCCCCAAGGCACCACUGACAUAUAAGGGAGACUUGGUGAGAGGGGUGGCGGCUGCAGCCCCCCCAGCCUUGAAGCUGCUCCACUGGUGCCAGUGGAGUGCUGCCCGGACAGUGAACCGUUCCCUCUGAGUCCUGCCCCUUCCGCAGAUGCAGGAGAGGAUAAACACUGUCACUGAUUUGAAUGAUCUUAUUUAAACCCCCUGUGAUGCCCUUUAAGGUGGAUGUUGUUACACAAAUUAUAGGUUAGAGAAUGGAAGUCAAGUCAGAUGAAGUGACUCACCCAAGGCCAUGUGAUGAUGAACUGGGAUUUGAACCCAGGGCUCUCUGACACCAAUCUUGUGAGAUCCAGCUGUGCCCCAGUGCCUGUUCCUCCGGGACCAGGAGCUGGGGCCUUUGCUGCCCUGCAGACAUAACUGCUCUCAGAGACGCAGGCCCAUUGGGAGUAGGAGGACGAGAGAGCACAACUUUGGAGAACUAACUUUACGUGGUUUGUUGUGACUCAGUUUCCCUAACUAGAAUCCUAGUUAAACCCUCCUGGUCCCGCCUUGAACAUUCAGUUCCCAAGGGAAGCUGCCUGCCUUCCCCCCAGGAGCUGAGAUCACGUGGUAUCUGCUCACGUUACAGGAGAUUCCUAUCAUGUAAAAUAAUAACCACGUUUCUAGGUCACCCGCAGAGUGACUUCAGGCUCUGGGAGCCCAGGGCCUCAUUCUUUAGCACAGGCUCUAACCUCUGAUAGACAAUGAAUAAAUGCAAGUUAAAAAAAUACCAAAGAGCUGAAAGUGUGGAUUUUCUUGAGAAGGAUGGUGGUAGGGUAAGGACGUGCAAAAUUCCAGGUAGAGAUACUGAAAUCUUGUCUAGCUAAAAGUUUGUCUUCUGAGGUCAAGUUUUCUUUGUCACUUUCUUUGUCUUUUCCUGUUAGAUAAAACAUCUUUGGGUUUGACUUUGAUAAAUAAAGAAAUUCCAACAAAAUGCAACAACAAACUAAACAAUAACAGGAAGAGGAGACACUCUUUCUCAGUGAAUAGUUAUUCAAGUGGAAACUAUUUUCUGAUGUGCGACAUUGGAGAAUUGACUUUGGUAUGCAUGUGGAAAUGUGGAAAUGUGACGUGUAACGUCUGCACUCAGCCUUUUCAGGCUUCGAUGGGUGGCUUUGUGUCUUUCAACUUGAAUUUAGUUGUCACUGCAGCUGCUUGAGCACUGGGAACAGUUCUUCACUCCACUUGAGCCUGUGCUUUGUAGGUGUAGGACUCCAGUAAUAAUGGGGGGGGGGAGCAGCACGACCAGAAUAUGAGGAAUUUUUUUAAAAAAGAAGUAUAAAUAAAUGCAUGCAAAAUGUUAGGCAAGUUUGGAAUUCCUGCUGUGGCUCAGUGGUGUCUUUGUAGUGCCAGGAGGCAGAUUUGAUCCCUGGCCAGGCACAGUGGCUGAAAGGAUCUGGUGUGGCCACAGCUGUGGCAUAUGUCACAACUGUGGCUCACAUCCGACCCCUGGCCCAGGAA
rnacentral:lncRNA from 1 species